CUUCAGCUUGCUGGAGCUAGUAAAGUGGCGCACGGGUGAGUAACGCGUGGGUAAUCUACCUCCGAAUUGGGGAUAACACUGCGAAAGCGGUGCUAAUACCGAAUGACAUCCCAGGGACCUUGGUUUCGGGGAUCAAAGGUGGCCUCUACAUGUAAGCUACUGUUUGGAGAUGAGCCCGCGUACCAUUAGCUAGUUGGUAGGGUAAUGGCCUACCAAGGCUGCGAUGGUUAGCUGGUCUGAGAGGAUGAUCAGCCACACUGGAACUGACACACGGUCCAGACUCCUACGGGAGGCAGCAGUGAGGAAUUUUGCGCAAUGGGGGAAACCCUGACGCAGCAACGCCGCGUGAGUGAUGAAGGCUUUCGGGUCGUAAAGCUCUGUCAAGUGGGAAGAAUAUGCCCUGUGAUAAUACCAUGGGGCACUGACGGUACCACUGAAGGAAGCACCGGCUAACUCCGUGCCAGCAGCCGCGGUAAUACGGGGGGUGCAAGCGUUAUUCGGAAUCAUUGGGCGUAAAGGGCGCGUAGGCGGCCUCUUAAGUCAGAUGUGAAAGCCCUCAGCUUAACUGAGGAAGUGCAUUUGAAACUGGCGAACUAGAGUUGAGUAGAGGGGAGUGGAAUUUCAGGUGUAGCGGUGAAAUGCGUAGAUAUCUGAAGGAACACCAGUGGCGAAGGCGACUCCCUGGACUCAAACUGACGCUGAGGUACGAAAGCGUGGGUAGCAAACAGGAUUAGAUACCCUGGUAGUCCACGCCGUAAACGAUGUCAACUAGCCGUUGGUCCUAUUUACAGGAUUAGUGGCGCAGCUAACGCAUUAAGUUGACCGCCUGGGGAGUACGGCCGCAAGGUUAAAACUCAAAUGAAUUGACGGGGGCCCGCACAAGCGGUGGAGCAUGUGGUUUAAUUCGAUGCAACGCGAAGAACCUUACCUACCCUUGACAUCCAGAGAAUCUGUUAGAGAUAGUGGAGUGCCUUCGGGAACUCUGAGACAGGUGCUGCAUGGCUGUCGUCAGCUCGUGUCGUGAGAUGUUGGGUUAAGUCCCGUAACGAGCGCAACCCUUAUCCUUAGUUGCCAGCGAGUCAAGUCGGGAACUCUAGGGAGACUGCCGGUGAUAAACCGGAGGAAGGUGGGGACGACGUUAAGUCAUCAUGGCCCUUAUGGGUAGGGCUACACACGUGCUACAAUGGCCGGUACAGAGGGCUGCGAACUUGCGAAAGG
rnacentral:rRNA from 1 species